AUUGAACGCUGGCGGCAUGCCUAACACAUGCAAGUCGAACGGCAGCAUGCUUUGUAGCAAUACAAAGUGAUGGCGAGUGGCGGACGGGUGAGUAACGCGUAGGAAUCUGCCCUAAAGUGGGGGAUAACUCAGCGAAAGUUGAGCUAAUACCGCAUAAUCUCUUCGGAGUAAAGCCGGGGACCUUCGGGCCUGGCGCUUGAGGAUGAGCCUGCGUAAGAUUAGCUAGUUGGUAGGGUAAAAGCCUACCAAGGCGACGAUCUUUAACUGGUCUGAGAGGACGACCAGUCACAUUGGGACUGAGACACGGCCCAAACUCCUACGGGAGGCAGCAGUGGGGAAUAUUGGACAAUGGGGGCAACCCUGAUCCAGCGAUGCCGCGUGUGUGAAGAAGGCCUGCGGGUUGUAAAGCACUUUCGGUGGGGAGGAAAUGCUCAAGGCUAAUAUCCUUGAGAGUUGACGUUACCCGCAUAAGAAGCACCGGCUAACUCUGUGCCAGCCGCCGCAGUAACAC
rnacentral:rRNA from 1 species